UACGUAGGGUGCAAGCGUUGUCCGGAAUUAUUGGGCGUAAAGAGCUCGUAGGCGGUUUGUCGCGUCGGCUGUGAAAUCCCGAGGCUCAACCUCGGGCCUGCAGUCGAUACGGGCAAACUAGAGUGUGGUAGGGGAGACUGGAAUUCCAGGUGUAGCGGUGAAAUGCGUAGAUAUCUGGAGGAAUACCGGUGGCGAAGGCGGCAUCCUGGACCGGCAUUGACGCUGAGGAGCGAAAGCUAGGGGAGCAAACGGG
rnacentral:rRNA from 1 species